CAUCGGUAGCUUAUUUUUAAAGUUUUGGGUUCUUGCUCCAAGGAUGUGGUUGAUUACCCGUUGG
rnacentral:tRNA from 1 species